rnacentral:rRNA from 1 species
CGGCGCACGGGUGCGUAACGCGUAUGCAAUCUACCUUUUACAGAGGGAUAGCCCAGAGAAAUUUGGAUUAAUACCUCAUAGCAUAGCAGCUUCGCAUGAAGCCACUAUUAAAGUCACAACGGUAAAAGAUGAGCAUGCGUCCCAUUAGCUAGUUGGUAAGGUAACGGCUUACCAGGGCAACGAUGGGUAGGGGUCCUGAGAGGGAGAUCCCCCACACUGGUACUGAGACACGGACCAGACUCCUACGGGAGGCAGCAGUGAGGAAUAUUGGACAAUGGGCGCAAGCCUGAUCCAGCCAUGCCGCGUGCAGGAUGACGGUCCUAUGGAUUGUAAACUGCUUUUGCACAGGAAGAAACAACAUUACGAGUAAUGUCUUGACGGUACUGUGAGAAUAAGGAUCGGCUAACUCCGUGCCAGCAGCCGCGGUAAUACGGAGGAUCCAAGCGUUAUCCGGAAUCAUUGGGUUUAAAGGGUCCGUAGGCGGUUUAGUAAGUCAGUGGUGAAAGCCCAUCGCUCAACGGUGGAACGGCCAUUGAUAC